rnacentral:rRNA from 1 species
UACGUAGGGUGCAAGCGUUGUCCGGAAUUAUUGGGCGUAAAGAGCUCGUAGGCGGUCUGUCGCGUCGGCUGUGAAAGCCCUCGGCUCAACCGAGGAAGUGCGCCCGAAACUGCAGAGCUUGAGUACCGGAGAGGAUGGCGGAAUUCCCCAAGUAGAGGUGAAAUUCGUAGAUAUGGGGAGGAACACCGGUGGCGAAGGCGGCCAUCUGGACGGAGUACGUGACGCUGAGACGCGAAAGCGUGGGUAGCAAACGAGG